GCCUGAGCUGUACUGAAAGUAUAACGUAAAAACAAAAUUCUAGGCCUUUAGGCUUGAGAAUGUGACCUCUAUGACUUAAUGCUCCAAGUUAUGCUAAUCAUAAAAUAGAUAGCGACAUUCCUCCACCCACCCGCUUCCUGGGUUCAAAGAGUGUUCAUUCAAAAAAAGUCACCCUGACCCACCCUGACCAUUUCCAGAACCCACUAUACAAAUGUGCUAUUGUUAGGGGCUCUUAGAAACUGUCUUGAAAGAUAACUGGAACAAUUACAAGGUAUUCCUUGUGACUCUUGUGACUUUGCACUUCCUUGGGACUCUUAACUGGUAUCUUUGGUAUUUUCCAACAAUGCCCUCCCCACUUCCUUGAGUUGUGGUUUCUUCCUUUAAAUACCCCCUUAUCCAGCUACUCGGGGCGCCACGAUCCUCUACCCCUGCGUGGUGUAUGACCAUGGGCCCGAGAGUGCUCUUAAAUAAAAAUCCUCUUGCAGUUUGCAGCAAGACCGUUUCUUGUGUGAUUUGGGGUGUCACCUCUCCUGAGUCAGAACGUGGGGAAGUCCUCACAUUGUGGGUCUUUCAGUACCUUCUUUGCUUUGGGCCCUUGUUGAGCUAAGCUAUUUAUCAGCCCAUUUUCAUGAAUAACAACACACUGUUUCCUGAUAGUAUUGUGCACAGCCCAUAAAGUUACCUUCAAAGAAAGAAAGGGACAAUUUACAAGCCUAUCUCAUCAAGGCUGAAUGCCACUCUUCUUUUAAAAUCUUGGAAUGCUUAUGCUUCUGGCCAACAGCAUCUUUGAAGUCUAUGGCAUUUACAGCAUGAUCAUGGCAUCCUAAGUAUGCACGUGGUUUUUGGAAACAUUCUUUGGAGUAACUUCAGUGAAAUUUAUACAACCUGUUGCUCAGGGCAGUCAGGUUUAGCCAGCAAGUCCAUGGAAUUUUCUUCAAAUACUAACCUUUGGCCUUUUCCAUCCAUGAGAUGUGGAUCUUUUUCUUUUUUCUCAUUUAAUUAGUUUGCUAGUUAGUUGUAGCCUCCCCUCCCCAAGCCUUAAUGGUUCCACUGUUUACACCUGGAUGGAGCUUGCUACUCAAUAGUUCUGCCAUGCCUACUGCUGGAACCUGCCGCUUUCCUGUUCCAAAGCCAUCACGCGGUCAUCCUGCUACUGGACCCCAAGAUUAUUUGGUGGGAAUCGGGCCCCCUUCCCCUGCUUCAUAACUGUGUGCAGAAUAGUAAAAUUGAGCUUUGAUCAGAAUGCCUGUCUUAGCUGCAUCCUUUUCUCGCCCACCUAGCCAUUCUUCUCUUCCAGGUUUCCAAAAUGCCUUUCCAGGCUAGAACCCAGGCUGUGAUCUGCUGGCCAGACACAACAUUUGGUGCCUAAUUGGGGCUGAGAAACGGCAAAGGACUUUUGGAAGAGGCACUGCUGGUUUAGAGCUCCAUAGAAGAAGAAAAUAAUUAAAGGAAAUUCAUACCAGAAAAGGUUGGUAUGGGCUAAGCUGAAACAGGGUUACACCCGAGCGCUAAUUCACUUAGAUUCAGCAGUGAAGCUUAACAGGAGCUGGGAACUAUAAUAGGCGGUUGGCCGUAGCUCUCAGAAGCUACAUU
rnacentral:lncRNA from 1 species